rnacentral:rRNA from 1 species
UACGUAGGGGGCUAGCGUUGUCCGGAUUUAUUGGGCGUAAAGAGCGUGUAGGCGGCCAGGUAGGUCUGCUGUGAAAACUCGAGGCUUAACCUCGAGAUGUCGGCGGAAACCAUCUGGCUAGAGUCCGGAAGAGGAGAGUGGAAUUCCUGGUGUAGCGGUGAAAUGCGCAGAUAUCAGGAGGAACACCGGUGGCGAAGGCGGGAUCGCUGGGCCGAAUGACUCUGAGGAGCGAAAGCGUGGGGAG